rnacentral:rRNA from 1 species
UACGUAGGUGGCAAGCGUUAUCCGGAUUUACUGGGUGUAAAGGGCGUGUAGGCGGGAAAGCAAGUCAGAUGUGAAAACCACGGGCUCAACCUGUGGCCUGCAUUUGAAACUGUUUUUCUUGGGUACUGGAGAGGCAGACGGAAUUCCUCGUGUAGCGGUGAAAUGCGUAGAUAUGAGGAGGAACACCAGUGGCGAAGGCGGUCUGCUGGACAGCAACUGACGCUGAGGCGCGAAAGCGUGGGGAGCAAACAGG